ensembl:lncRNA
AGCAAAAUAUGCCACCUCUCACUGAUGUGUCCAGGUCAACAUUUUAAGUAUGGUAUUGCUGCAAGACAGUUCUCCUCAGUGGGAGAAAACAUGGCAUGGCCAAGCUUUGAUCAAGUGCGCAGCUAUCAGGCAAGCACACAACAAAAUCUCCACUGGCAAAAGAAGAAAAACAGCAGCUCUUGGAUUUUCAUUGCCUGAUUUGCAGAGGGUCUGAGCUUUCUGUUAUUGUACUGUAAUGCUCAAUAAGAGAAAAUCUCAGAACUCUGCUCUGGCGCAACCUUGUUCUCAAAGGAAAGAAACCGUUAAAUAUUGAAAGAUGUUCUCAGAUUUGUUUUUUUGUUUGCUGUUUUAUAGUUAUAUUAUUUUCAUGUAAUAUUUUUGAAGGUUGCAUGUUUUUUAUUGCCUCCCUUAUAUAUUCCAGUGAUCACCUGUCUAGUAAUCUUACUAGUCUGAAACCAGUACCUGGUGCGUUAUUCUACUAGCUAAAAAAUGGAAAAAAAAUAAUAAAUAAGGAUGAACUGCUGGCCCA